rnacentral:rRNA from 1 species
UGGGGAAUAUUGCACAAUGGGCGAAAGCCUGAUGCAGCAACGCCGCGUGAGGGACGACGGCCUUCGGGUUGUAAACCUCUUUUAGCAAGGAAGGAGCGAAAGUGACGGUACUUGCAGAAAAAAGCGACCGGCUAACUACGUGCCAGCAGCCGCGGUAAUACGUAGGGCGCAAGCGUUAUCCGGAAUUAUUGGGCGUAAAGAGCUCGUAGGCGGUUUGUCGCGUCUGCUGUGAAAAACCCCGAGGCUCAACCUCGGGCCUGCAGUGGGUACGGGCAGACUGGAGUGCGGUAGGGGAGAUUGGAACUCCUGGUGUAGCGGUGGAAUGCGCAGAUAUCAGGAACGAAGCACCGAUGGCGAAGGGCAGAUCUCAUGGGCCGUAACUGAC